CCUGCACCUCCCCAGUUCCAGCAGGCCUCCCUGGAGCUCCAACCCCGCCCUGCCUCACGCGCUUCCGGUCUCGUUCAUGGCGCCGGCGCGCGUCUCCACAGCCACCAAGGGGCCAGCGUGCCCCAGCUCCACAGGGCUCACAGAUGUAGGGGCAUUUCUCCGGACCACCGCCAAAUCCGAAGAUCAGGGCCGGCUCCGCGCUGGCCGGUUUGCUGCCCGGGGGAGUCCAGUUGUGGGGUCCGCCAUCCUGGGGGCCCGGGCAUCCCAGCCUGGGUUUCUAUCGUGUGUGCGUGUGGCGCUCCCCCUGUUGCUGUGUAGGCGUGGAGUGUGUCUGCCAUUUUGGCUCCGUGAGGGAAGAUACCACUCACCGGAUGGGCCCCCAUCUCCAGCCUCCGAAGCUCGGACUCUUGGGCCGGGAUC